rnacentral:lncRNA from 1 species
AUGUGCAGAACACAGCCAUGGAAACCAACAGCAGGAAAACGUCUCCUGUGCAAACAAACGUGCCUCACCCAGGAAGGACGGGUCCCACACAGAAACGGUCUGCUGUUGUCAACAGGCCAAAAACAGAGAGAAUGCUUCUGUGGGUGUCUGACAAGCCUCGUGUUCCAUCGGGGGAUCCUGCAGAGUGUUCUCGGCCCAGAAGAUUUUCUGACGAUGCAUCUGCUUUGGAAGAUGUUGAAGCAUCUUACUCACCUAAAGCAAUCAGUCCUUGACUUCCCCAUCAUGAGGAUUCUGCUUUUAGGACCAUGUUCUCUCAGGUUGCAGCUGCGCCUUCUGCUCUAAGAUGCGUGAAGGGAGGAGAUGUCUGCCAAGAACGUGGUAGUUCUGCGUGUACGAUCAGCUCUACCGUUUCUGCAAAUCUUGAUGAAAUGGCACAAACAGUAUUAGAGGGGUCUCACCUUCCAGAGGCACCUUACUGCUGCUACUGGGCCACCUUCUGGGGCCUUGAGUUCCAAAUGGUCCACAUAUGCCCUCAGGCUGCGUUGUGUUAAUUCCAGCUAAGCGACUCCUGUGUCGUGCCUACACAUCUCCUGGGCCAGAUGCGUGCGCAUGGGAAGGGGACUGAGACGUCCCCAUGGUACCAGCUGCGCAAACAUGAGAAGGGGGAGGUGUUUGUGAACAGCUAUGAAGAGAAUUUUGACAAGGGACAAGGGCUCACUGAGUGCCCUGGGUUCGUUCUCAUCUUUAACAUAGAACUCCCACGCAAAUCAGUUGUGGGUGCCUCUUGAGCACCCCAGAUUCCCACCCUUGCUCUGCCUCCCCCAGGGUGAAAGGUUAUGGGGUCCCAGCAAAGGUCAGAUGCCUCGGAUGGGUUCUAGAAGAAUCCAAUCCAUCCACUAUUUUUUACGUCAAAUUUUCCUCCAGCCUGCAGAGGCCUGGCUGUGAGAAACAGCCUCACCCCAGGAUCUGGGCGGAUACGGGCGGCGGGCGUGGUGGGGCAGGAGACAGGAGGGUUGCGUGGGUUUCUCUUUGACUACUGCAUCCUGAGGAAGAGGUUUGCACUCUAGGAAUCUCAAUGUCAAGAUGCUUACCUUGACUGGCAUCCUUUGGAUUAAGGAAGAAAGCAGGAAUUUGAGAGAGAUGAUUAGAAACCUGAAUGAGGGGCCAUCCAUAGCCUGUAUUUAUUUUUUUGUAACCCCACCAUCAUCUCUGGGCAUCUGAUUUCGUCUUGACAUGUUAGCGAGCUACAGUUGGUCCGAGUGACUCUAAGGGGCCUGCAGAUUUUUAGAGGAUAUAGAGGAGGGGCCUGAAGUUCUCAGUCCUAAUCCUCCAGAGGGCCUGGCGAGGCCUUGGGAAUCUAAGCACCACCUCCUCCCUUCGUGGGGUUUGAACAGCCGGCAGAACCGCGGGUGGGUCUGCUUGGGCAGGUCUGGGCUGUGCUCAGGAGGCCAUGGUCUGUUCCCCGGAAUGGGGUGGGGACCAGAAGCUUCAGCGAGACCAGGGAUGGAGCAGCCCCCCUGAGUGAGUUCUUACAUGGCCACAGCAAUCCUCUGUCUAACGUCGAUUUCCAGACUCAGGAAGAUCCCUAUUCAAAUGAACUAAUUCCAGAGAACAUCCCCAGAUUAAUUAAGCGUGGAUGGCUCUUCCUGUUCCUCUGGAUCAGAGCAGGCGCUCUCGCUGCCCUGUCCCACCCACCCGGCCCUGCAGGGUGAUGGGGGUCCUGCCAUUCACCACCUCCCGGGCCUCUCUCUCUCUCUCUCUCUUUCUCUCGGAAAGCUCUCCAGAUCCUCUGCCCGUCUUUCCCCAAGAUCCCUGACCUUUCUUAAUUCGACAUCCCGAACGAUCCCUGACCUGCUGCUCUCGCUCCUUCCAGGACUCUGGCUGUGGCCCUGCCAGGCCUCAGGUCCUAUCUGCCAGCAGGCCGGCUGACCCCUUAAUGUGACUGACCGCUUUGGAUUCUUAAGCCUCAGGUUCUGCUCCCCUCAGACUUGGGAAGCCUUCUGUGUCUUUGCCCUCGUUCUGGGAUGGUGCCUUAGGUCCGGGAGGGCUCUUCGGGAUAAAUCUCAGCCUUUUUCCUUCAGAAAGAGGCCUCCAGACUGCUCUCCUUCGCUUCCUCCCUCAACCUUAGUUCCUGCCCACAGCAGCCCUGAGCUCGUCUCCAAGAGAGUGCGGGGGGUCCGGGAGGGGAGGACAGGCCAGACCCCACCUAGACGUCUCCAUCCCUUGCUCCAUCCGUGGCCCUGGAGAAGGGGCUUGGACGAGUACGGAGCCCCAAGGAGGGAACGUUGCCCCUCCCAGCAGGUCUCUGUCUUUCCUGAAAAUGGCAGCUCUGCAUCCCACGGAUAUGGGCGCACAGCCUUCCCGGCUCUGAGUGGGGGUGGCCUCCUGCACGUGGGGGCCGGGAUGGCUGGGGACUUGGGCCCCUUGUUACUGCUAAGCUCGGCACUGCCAUCCCUUUAUGUAAACGGUCUCAGAGGCGCAUCCUGUUACUUUUCCCGCUUUACAGGUGGGGCCCCUGGGACCCAGGAAGUGGCAGACUCGGCCUGAGGCUCCAGUCUGACCCAGAGCUGGGACGCCUGCCCUCGCCCGAGCUGGGGCCAGUCAGCCAUUCCCUGACCGCCCUGCCCUGGCUCCUUGGCCGUCAGAUUGGCUGGGAAGAAGCGUCAACUGUCCAAGGGGAGGGGACUUGGAGCAAAUGGGCGCUCACAGGCUGGAUCAGAACAGCAGCGUGCUCUGCCCAUCAGCCUGGUUCUCGCUCCUCUGUGGAAGCCCUGAUCGCUGGGGCGGGCGUCUGGGCCCCCACCACGUGCUCGCUGCAAGAGGGUCAUGCUGGUGUCCGUGUACUCGGUGCAGCUUGUUGGGUUCAGUUUUGAGUGUUUUCAUUUCUUUGUCCCCAGGCAGAAUCGGAUCCAGCCUUUCCGCCCCUCCCUCCUGGGAGACACUGCCCUUCUCUCCUCCAUAAGAGAUCCCCGGGGGGCCUGAGCCUGCCCAGCCGCCUCCUGUUUCCCCUCUGCCACUCUGCGCGUCCCCCUGGACCAGUGGUGCCUGGAGCAUGACGGACAGUCAACAAUGUUUGUUGAAUGAAUGCAUGAAUGAAUGAAUGCAGCUUUCCGUAUGUGGAAUCAUGGCCCCUGACAGAGCUGCUGUUAGGAUCCCUUGGAAGGGAGCCACAGGCUCGGUGCCAGGUUGGAGGAUGGUGGCGAGUGCAUUGUGCUGACUGUCGUCUCUGUGGACGGCUUCUGGUUCCUCCCAGACCCUCCCACGCCUGACAAACGGAAGCCCACGGGCUCACAGUCUCGCGGCAGCCGGGGCGAGGCGCUGGGGAGCACUGGACUGUGCCCCCGGCCCACCCUGUCCAUGCAUGGGCCUGGAGAAGCUGACCUUUGUCCUUAGAGCCAGUGUGACUUCCUCACGUUCAUCUUGAGCCUCCGGGCAGGGCGCCUGGGGGUGGGGGGACCGCCACAUCAGGUGCCGAUUCCUUGUGGCAACUGGACUUCACUCCCAGCUCCGGAGCGGAGAGGAAGGCCUGAUGGAGAUGCCGGGCAGAGCGUGUGAUUUAUAGCCCCUCCAUCACCGAGAAGGACCGGCCUCACUGAGAGAGGCUUUUAAAGAUCCCUUGGCUGGGAUUUGCCUCACCACCCCGUCUUCCGCUGGGCCUGACCAUACAGUCGCUUCUGGUAAAAAUUCCACUGUCACAGGACAGCUCGGCUCUCUGUUCCUCUCCCCUCCACUCGACCCACCCCCGAGCCUGACUCAUCUCUUCUAGAACCUUCUCUGUCCUUCUACGUGUGAUUUACUAAGUGCGUUUCCCAGCCAGCUCCCAGACGCUGGCUAGAAAGACCAAUUUACAGGAACAAAAUGUCCCCGAGUUAUCGCCGGGUCACGGUCCAAACUUCAUUUGAGGAUCAGCUGUGGGAAUUGAUGUUUUUCUCAUAGAAACAACAGUGGUGGAGGGGGCUCAGGGUGUCCUCUGAAGACAUUUCGUCCUUGAUGAAGCUGAACUGUAACACAGACAAGGGGUCUAGACACAGAAUGUCUGUGUGGUACAGAAGGGGGGGGGUAGGAGGAGAAGCAGGAGAAGCAGGGGUGCUGCCCCCCUCUUUGUUAAGGCAGUUCUAAUCCUGGGCCACAGUUCAUAAUAAACAGGUCUUGUGCAUGCA